rnacentral:rRNA from 1 species
ACGCUGGCGGCGUGCCUAAUACAUGCAAGUCGAACGCUUCUUUCCUCCCGAGUGCUUGCACUCAAUUGGAAAGAGGAGUGGCGGACGGGUGAGUAACACGUGGGUAACCUACCCAUCAGAGGGGGAUAACACUUGGAAACAGGUGCUAAUACCGCAUAACAGUUUAUGCCGCAUGGCAUAAGAGUGAAAGGCGCUUUCGGGUGUCGCUGAUGGAUGGACCCGCGGUGCAUUAGCCAGUUGGUGAGGUAACGGCUCACCAAGGCCACGAUGCAUAGCCGACCUGAGAGGGUGAUCGGCCACACUGGGACUGAGACACGGCCCAGACUCCUACGGGAGGCAGCAGUAGGGAAUCUUCGGCAAUGGACGAAAGUCUGACCGAGCAACGCCGCGUGAGUGAAGAAGGUUUUCGGAUCGUAAAACUCUGUUGUUAGAGAAGAACAAGGACGUUAGUAACUGAACGUCCCCUGACGGUAUCUAACCAGAAAGCCACGGCUAACUACGUGCCAGCAGCCGCGGUAAUACGUAGGUGGCAAGCGUUGUCCGGAUUUAUUGGGCGUAAAGCGAGCGCAGGCGGUUUCUUAAGUCUGAUGUGAAAGCCCCCGGCUCAACCGGGGAGGGUCAUUGGAAACUGGGAGACUUGAGUGCAGAAGAGGAGAGUGGAAUUCCAUGUGUAGCGGUGAAAUGCGUAGAUAUAUGGAGGAACACCAGUGGCGAAGGCGGCUCUCUGGUCUGUAACUGACGCUGAGGC